CUUGUAAAGAGGGUUUUUGGUGGCAUUGCCGGCGAUACAGGUAUGUUUUUCUCGUUCUCUCUUCUUCCUGUGAGAAUGCUGGUGAAAUGCGUCCCGAGCCAAAGAUUCCUAGCUUUUCUGAAGAGCCCAAGAGUCCCCAUUUGCUGCUCCACGAAUCAAAGAGGAACCAGAUAAGAUUCAUUUGAGCGCUUUGCUUCUGGCGUGGGCAUCACGUCUCUGCCCGAGCUCUUGAGCGAGUUUGGCCGGGAUCUAGCGGAAAUGAAACGAUUUGUUGAGGACGACUGGAAGUUUAGCGGCUUUUUCUUUACAGAGACGAGGCAGCCAUCGAGCUGUAAAAGACAGGGCUACGUCAGAAGGCUCAAUUGCAAACUUCCGAGUCUUCAUCAUGGGUUUUUCAUUGGCAUUUGUAUGGAAAAGUCCGGGUUUACAGGAAACGAUCAGACUUGUCUUUGUCUUGUCUCGAGAGUUUGGCGUCCAAGGAAUUGGAUUUAGAAAAAAAGGAAGGCGGGCCUAUACCCUCAGAAGCUAGGCUCGUGCGAUAACACGGGCUAUCAAAAAAAAUAUCGGAACUCACUAUGUUCGACAUUUGGAUCUUGAUGCUCCAACUCCAGGUUGCAUCCCGAAGAUCAGAAACUGGAACAUAAUCUUUUAGAGAUGUGCGGAAUCUCAUCCGAGCUGGAAGAAACGCAGAAGUGCAGGACCUGUGUCCAACAGGGAUUACUCUUCGUUGCUCAGAGUAGAGAAGCCAACUUCAAAACAAGAUAAAGCACUCGCGCUGCUCAAAUCCAAGCUCCUGGCGUGGAGAGCUGGCUGCAUGACUGCUCAUUCCUUUAGACGCUACAGGGCUUGAUGGAGGGAGGAUACGGAAAUGGGCUUGCUUUUGUGCUUCCGAGAAAAUAGCGUCAAGUGAAGGGGGGGAGAUACGAGAGUCCCGUUUUUGCUGCAAUGUAAACCACGUGUGUUGACGCCAACUGCGAGGUCAUGGAGAGCUUUCUCACCGCCAUCUUUUAAGCGCGAUCGAUUUAUCUUCCACUUGUGCCGAGCCUGUUGCCUUGUGAUUUUAUCAACUUGUUUCAAAAGCUCUACUCUGGAUGCACCUCGUGGUCUCUGAUAUGGCAGCGGUACUGGAAAUGUAGACGACAGUUCUAACGUCAAGGCCACACAGGCAUCCUCAAAUGAUUCGUUUCGCCGCACAUCUGGUUCUGCGGAAGGAUUGAAGGACAAUACGGGGACAGGCUUGAAUUGGCUGGAGAUUGAAUCCUGAGCACGUACGUGAGGUUUGUAUUCACGCAACACAAGGAAGAGCUCGUUGGCCCUCAUCCCUCUCAGAUCUUUACGUGGAUAUGAUGGAGCUGCGGCAGCCUCCCGUUGUAUGGCAGAAUUCCAACAGCGUUUGGUUUUCCGAGAGAUCUCGCUAACGCCGCUAUGGUGCAGUGUUGAGAUUUCGGAAGGAAAAAGCAGAGCCAUUAAAAAAAAGAACGUUGCUGCCUGUUUUUUUUUUUUUGUUUUUUUUUUCCCGGGACUUCGUUUUUUCAGCAAGAAUACGUUUCUUGUGACGCACAUUAUCGAAGCUGGCUAUCAACAAUUGAGAACUGCAUUUCACCUGAAGAAAGAGCAAGGUCCUUUGCUACUGCAAAACAAGCUCUUGACACAGCUACUGCUUUUCUUCACAGUAGCGAAUGAAAGUGGCUUCUCACCAACGAUGAGGCCUUCCAAUCCGUGGAACUAUUUUCCACUGUCGUUUUAUGGAGAUCAUCGGAUCCUUGAUUUGCUCCAGAUCCUACAGUUUGCACUGCUCCGAACAGCGCAUUGCAUUUUUGCUCGGGAGAGUUGGCUUCCAUUCAACGCAACUUAACGGUGAAUGUGGCUGUCAAUCCUCAGAACAAUAUGUUACUGGAUAUAGAGCUCAAAUGUGCGGCUCUUGAAGGGGAAGGCAUUGAAUCACUUGUAACAAGUGAUGGUGGAUUUUUGUCAUUGAAGGUUUACUUUUCGCCCUGGACAUCAGGAUUAAUUUCUUCUCUUUUUCCUUUUGUUGCAGGAGAACUUCCACAUUUUCAUCCUGAAGUUUUUCGAAUGGAUGCGUUUUCUAUUCACUCGGAUGGUGUACGCCGGGAUGCUCCAUUCGUGAUUUAUUUGCCGUCGUUGCUGCUUUCCAGAACUUGUGCUACGAUGCAUGGAGAUUCGUGGCUGGCUUCCGGUCUUGAAAUGACAGCAAGUGAUAAUCCUGACUGGUUGCGUCGGGAGCUCUUCAGGGACUGUUUAGCGGCAGUCAGCUAGAGGUAUGUUUCUCAGGAUGUAUUUCAGGUUUGGGAAGCAAUUUGGUGAAAGUACCGCGGAAAUACUCAUGGAGCUCCUCGUCCUUAUGCCUCUAAUCUAGCUGGUGCGGAUCUUUACGUGCAUAUGAUGGAGCACGGCAGAACGACAGGAAUGCCAUGCUACGUCCGUUACGGCUAUUUGGUAAUGUGAUGCUUUUCUAGUUUCUUUGAGAAGUCUCGUGAACUCAAAACAUCCGUUAAUUGAAAGCUGAAGAUACAGAGAGAGUGGAACUUACAGACAGGACAUUCUGUGCACUAAAUGGACUUUACUUCUCGAGCAGGUCUACCAGAUUCGGAUACAGUUGCGUGCUCUCUUGACAAACACAGAGCUUAAAGAAGUAGUAGACUUACGAAACUGUACUUCUGCCUGAGGACUAUCAGGCUUUCUUUUAAGGUUCUCGAGAUCUGAUCAUUUCCUGCAAUAGAAGAGAGCUUGCUGCGUUCCAGAACUUCUGGUGCGAUUGCGAUCAUUCAGUCGGGAGCUCGCAGGGACUGUUUCAGCGCAACUAGAGGUAUUGUCACAUUUUCCACAAGCUUCAUAGAUGUGCACAGAAUGGAGGCUGGAGGCCGGAGAAAGCCACUGGAUUUGUGAAAGCCUGAGCAAAAAGCUACAUUCUUUUCUACGAAGCCACUCCAAGAUAUCAAAGAAGGACGCUCUUAUUCUUUUUUGA